UCAGCUCCCUCCAACACGGGCCUGCGUUCAGGGCUGGCGCUCUGGCUGAGUCUCUCUGCUUUUGUCUCCAUCCUGAGUCUCGUGGGAUUACCCUCUCCCAGCCCCCCCCAUGUCCUGGGACAUGCUGAGCUAUGGAGCGGACGACGUGAUAUGUCAUCAAACAGGUGCUGCAGGCAGAACAUUGAUGUGUCAGCCACAGAAACUGAAGGUGGGGAGUACAGAAGGGGGCCUGGCACACAGUGUAUUUAUUUUGAGAGAGAGAGACCGAAAGACAGAGAGAAAGAGAG